rnacentral:rRNA from 1 species
UGCNAGUCGAACGGUGAAAGAGGAGCUUGCUCCUCUGGAUCAGUGGCGAACGGGUGAGUAACACGUGAGCAAUCUGCCCUGGACUCUGGGAUAAGCGUUGGAAACGACGUCUAAUACCGGAUACGCGACGCGAAGGCAUCUUCAGCGUCGGGAAAGAACUUCGGUCCAGGAUGAGCUCGCGGCCUAUCAGCUAGUUGGUGAGGUAACGGCCCACCAAGGCGACGACGGGUAGCCGGCCUGAGAGGGUGACCGGCCACACUGGGACUGAGACACGGCCCAGACUCCUACGGGAGGCAGCAGUGGGGAAUAUUGCACAAUGGGCGCAAGCCUGAUGCAGCAACGCCGCGUGAGGGACGACGGCCUUCGGGUUGUAAACCUCUUUUAGUAGGGAAGAAGCGAAAGUGACGGUACCUGCAGAAAAAGCACCGGCUAACUACGUGCCAGCAGCCGCGGUAAUACGUAGGGUGCAAGCGUUAUCCGGAAUUAUUGGGCGUAAAGAGCUCGUAGGCGGUUUGUCGCGUCUGCUGUGAAAACUGGAGGCUCAACCUCCAGCCUGCAGUGGGUACGGGCAAACUAGAGUGCGGUAGGGGAGAUUGGAAUUCCUGGUGUAGCGGUGGAAUGCGCAGAUAUCAGGAGGAACACCGAUGGCGAAGGCAGAUCUCUGGGCCGUAACUGACGCUGAGGAGCGAAAGCAUGGGGAGCGAACAGGAUUAGAUACCCUGGUAGUCCAUGCCGUAAACGUUGGGCGCUAGAUGUGGGGACCAUUCCACGGUUUCCGUGUCGCAGCUAACGCAUUAAGCGCCCCGCCUGGGGAGUACGGNCGCAAGGCUAAAACUCAAAGGAAUUGACGGGGGCCCGCACAAGCGGCGGAGCAUGCGGAUUAAUUCGAUGCAACGCGAAGAACCUUACCAAGGCUUGACAUUUACNAGAACGCUGCANAAAUGNANAACUCUUUNGACACUCGUAAACGGGGGUGCAUGGNUGUCGUCAGCUCNUGNCNUGAGAUGUUNGGUUAAUUCCCCCACNAGCGCANCCCUCNUUCU